rnacentral:rRNA from 1 species
UACGUAGGGUCCGAGCGUUGUCCGGAAUUAUUGGGCGUAAAGGGCUCGUAGGCGGCUUGUCGCGUCGUCCGUGAAAACUUGGGGCUCAACCCCAAGCUUGCGGUCGAUACGGGCAGGCUAGAGUUCGGUAGGGGAGACUGGAAUUCCUGGUGUAGCGGUGAAAUGCGCAGAUAUCAGGAGGAACACCGGUGGCGAAGGCGGGUCUCUGGGCCGAUACUGACGCUGAGGAGCGAAAGCGUGGGGAGCGAACAGG